rnacentral:lncRNA from 1 species
CCGAUGAUCGUGCAGAGGACGGUGACAUGCAGGAGGUGAACGAUACGUGCGUUAUUUUUUCCAACUUAUGUGCUUUGGGUUCUAUUACCUUUCACUUUCCCCUAUGCAAAUGAUAAUGCAUAUCUUGUGUUUAUUCAUUUCACCCAAUUUGCUUUCAACUAGACUCAAGAGAGACCGUCCGCACCCUCCCUAGCAACGAGAAUGAGGAAGGCCCAUCGACCCAUGACAUCACGAAGGUGGAAGGUACGUGCCUAUUAUCCUAUGUGGUCUCUUUCACACAUAAUUGUUUCACAAAAAUGCUGAAAUUGUUUAUAUGGGUGCUGCCACAGAGUUGCUGGCACAGGUGAGCGUACCAGAAAAGGAAGGCAAUGUGGACAGCACAAACCGACGGUGAUCGAAUAGUGUUCGACGUCCUACACCACCUACCCAGACUCCAUACACGAGGGGAAGGCAAAGAGAGUAAAGAAAUAAGUGAGUUCAAGUUGUUUAGUAAGAUGUGUUGUAGUAGUAGAAACAUUCUUCGUAACGAGGACAUGCUUUUAAUUUGGUUUAUUCUAUGGACGGAUACGGUUGCUCACCCAUAUGCUAUACGUUAAAC